UACAGAGGGUGCAAGCGUUUGUUCGGAAUUAUUGGGCGUAAAGCGCGUGUAGGCGGCUUUGCAAGUCGGGUGUGAAAGCCCUCAGCUCAACUGAGGAAGUGCGCCCGAAACUGCAGAGCUUGAGUGCCGGAGAGGGUGGCGGAAUUCCCCAAGUAGAGGUGAAAUUCGUAGAUAUGGGGAGGAACACCGGUGGCGAAGGCGGAUCGUCUGGGGCCUUACCUGACGCUCAGGCGCGAAAGCUAGGGGAGCGAACAGG
rnacentral:rRNA from 1 species